rnacentral:rRNA from 1 species
GACGAACGCUGGCGGCGUGCUUAACACAUGCAAGUCGAACGGAAAGGCCCUGCUUUUGUGGGGUGCUCGAGUGGCGAACGGGUGAGUAACACGUGAGUAACAUGCCCUUGACUUUGGGAUAACUUCAGGAAACUGGGGCUAAUACCGGAUAGGAGCUCCUGCUGCAUGGUGGGGGUUGGAAAGUUUCGGCGGUUGGGGAUGGACUCGCGGCUUAUCCGCUUGUUGGUGGGGUAGUGGCUUACAAAGGCUUUGACGGGUAGCCGGCCUGAGAGGGUGACCGGCCACCAUGGGACUGAGGGACGGCCCAGUCUCCAACGGGAGGCAACAGGGGGGAAUCUUACAGAAUGGGCGGGAGCCUGAUGCAGCAACGUCGCGUGCGUGAAGACCGCCUUCGGGGUGAGAACCGCUUUCGCCGGUGACGAAGCGUGAGUGACGGUAAUGGGUAAAGAAGCACCGGCUAACUACGUG